GCCAAAGGCAUGGGUGGGCAGUAAGGUGCGAGAUACGGCAGAGAUUAGCAGCAGCACCUUGCAAUAACCCUGAGGCUAGAUGAGUGAAGACACAUGGCCCAUGACCGAGCGAGGAAAAAGGUUCCAACAUGAGUGUUUGAGUGGCCCUUUAACUAGCAGGGAAACAGGCUGGGUAAAUACCAACUCAGGUUCAUCAGUUCAAUAAUGUUUAAAAUCCCACAGCAGACAAAUAUUGCCUGUGGCACUUCUAUUGAUGGGUCAACAAAGUGAUAAGAAAUGCAGCUGAGAUGAGACCGGUUUUGUGGCCACAUCAAGAACUGUGCUCCAAAUAGCUUUCCCCCGCUAGCCUGACUUUCAAUAAAACACCACCUUUUCUUUGGAAUUUUCUGAAUGGAUUUUUAAACAGGUGUGUUUUGAUGAAGUCACAGCAGGCUUACAGUGAGUUACCUUUUGCAUGUCUCUGAAUUCCCUACAGACCAGGGACCCUUCGCCUGGGCUGGGAAUGUUUACAGCUAAAGACCAAAGGUGACAAUGUAGGGAGCAAGAAUAGGGUCAAAUUACUACCCAUCUCCCUCACUUCUUUAUGUUGGUGAUCUUCCACCUGAUGAAGGGUCGUGACCCGAAACAUCAACUGUCCAUUUCCCUCCACAGAUGCUUCCUGACCUGAUAAGUUCCCCCAGCAUGCUGUUUCUUUCUCCCCAAAAAUUUAUUUCUUAGCCUUUGGAGGUGGAAGAGGGGUGGAUCUUCCAGAAGAUAAGGUACUACUUUGGCUUUGAUAAAGUGCAGAUGCUGGAAGUAUGAAAUUAAAACUGAAAAUGCUGGAAAUACCCAACAGGUCGGGCAGCAUGGGAGAAAAAGAGUUAACGUUUCAGGUCCAAGAUUCUUCAUCAAACUCCAAAUGUUAUCUCUAUUUAUCUUUCAAUCGAUGCUGCUUUGCUAUCUGACCUGCUCAGUGUUUCCCUCCCAUCAUCAGCCAACAUCAUCAGAGACCCACACCAUCCUGGCCACACACUCAUUUCACCAUUGCCAUUGGGAAGAAGGUACAGGAGCCUGAAAACUGUAAUGUCCAGGUUCAGGAACAGCUUCUUCCCUUCAGCCAUCAGGCUAUUAAACACAACAACAAAUAAGCUCUGAAUUACAAUAGACUAUUAUUAUUAUUGCACUAUAAUAGUUUGUUUAUUGAGUAUGUGUGGAUAUACACACUGAAUUUCUUUUCUCCCGUUAUGUACUAUGUUUACAUAUUCUGCUGUGCUGCAGCAAGUAAGAAUUUCAUUGUUCUAUCUGGGACAUAUGGUGAGUGGGGACACUCUUGACUUGACGCUCAUCUACCAUUCCCCAGUCUCAUAUUUCAUCUUUCAUCCCCCCUCCUUUCCCUCCCUAUCUCCUUCCACUCAUAUCCUUCCCUUUGCCUUUACAUUUAAUUCCUCCUAUUCUUUCCUUUUGUCUUCUUUUCUGCCACAGGGAGAAUAUGAUGGGGACCACAGUCAUAAUCUAAUCGCUCAUCCUUUCACCCGCCAGUCAAAGAGAGACAUUUGGAAUUGGCAACCUCUCCCUCCUCCUUGACCCACCCUCCAGCUAUUGCUGCAGUGCUGCAGACAACACAUCACCACCAUGAUGUACAGGUUACAGCAUGGGGUGGGGCAGUAUGUUUGAAGACAUGCUCCAACACUCAGAGCAAGAGACCUCUGUGCAGUGGCAGGUUGUUGAUGCUCGCUGUCCAACACCUCUCCUGCAGACACAGGCUUGGACUGUGCAGGAUGACAGGGUGGUGGCUGCUCUCAGGGUACCAGCACUGACCAUGGUCAAUCCUACGAGUGGUGCAGACUGGCUGUAUGCAGAGUGAUUGAAUGUUUUGAGAUACUGAUGUGGUACAUGUUUUGACAGGCUGAGAGAUGUAGGAAUGCCUGGCCUCUCACCUUCACUGCCACUGAGAGCACAGUCCCGCCGCAUUCCCUGGCUGCACAUAUGGCUGCAGCAUUGCAUGCCUAGAUUAACCACGCCUCGCAUUACUGGACACACUGCUCCUUGUUGUCAUGGGUGCUGGGGAUCUGUCCCUGAAAGCCCUCGAUAACCGGCCUUCUCCUCCUCCUCCUCUAACGCAAACCCUCUUUUUACUCUCCCUGCCUUUAGACCUGGGGCUCCAGCUGCAGCAGCUUCUGACUAAAGUUCAGACGCAAACUUCAGCCUCCCACUUUGUGAAGAUCUCCGAAACACCGCACCAUCGGUAACUCUACAUCCAAGAACUCACCAACAGACUUGCAGAAUUCAGCAGCACUCCCCAUGAGAACCACAUGGCUGAGGACAGGGUCAGAGCAUCCUCCUCUUCCUCCUCACUAUUCACCUUGAAUCGCCCAAACGGACUGCAGGAACAAGGUGCACAAGGUGUUAAAGGAGAGGGCGUGGAGUGUAGUCGUUGUGGGAACAAGCCCUCGCACCUCUGGGCUGCUCCUGGGCAUUGUCGGGUCUUACUGAUGCCCAAUGUUGAGCUUGCUGGAAGAUGAUCAAACGUUGCAAUCAUACCUUCUUCACCAAGAUGUUUCACCAGAGGUUGAAAAAUAUUUCCCAAAAGCCAGAGGUGUUUUGCCGUGCUGUGGUUCAGACUGGAUGCAGUGCCAAAGAUGGCGAAUGCCAGACCCCAUACUGAAGGUGGACACAAAAUUCUGGAAUAACUCAGCAGGACAGGCAGCAUCUGUGGAGAGAACGAAUGGUGAUGUGCUGUGUUGCAGGGCUUCAGUCUAAGCAGUGUCUCCAGCUUCUUCUGUGUGGCCCGGCCCUCGUGAUCGUUGCUGACCACCAGAAUGAUGUGUCCCCAACGGAAGCGCCUCAUCAUCUCAAACCAGGCCUGGGCUUGGUGAGAAUAGGGAGGCACAGUGCGCAGGAACGACAGAUUCUGCCACUUACCUGCACACUGGUCAAUUUUCAGAGGCCAAUCGACCUGCCACCCCACAUAUCAUUGGGAUGUGGGAGACACCCGCAGCACCCAGAGGAAACCCUCGCUGUCAGGGCCGUACUGCAAACUCCACAUGGUCAGUAUUCAAGGUCAGUAUUGAAGCUGGGUCUCUGGCAUUGUGAGACCUUAGCUCCACUAACUGUUCCAAUGUGCCACCCAAAAUGUUCCCCACUGCUGUUGUGUGACAAGCUGGAGGUU